rnacentral:rRNA from 1 species
GCCUACGGGAGGCAGCAGUGGGGAAUAUUGCGCAAUGGGGGAAACCCUGACGCAGCAACGCCGCGUGAGUGAUGAAGGCUUUCGAGUCGUAAAACUCUGUCUUCGGGGACGAAUAAUGACGGUACCCGAGGAGGAAGCCCCGGCUAACUACGUGCCAGCAGCCGCGGUAAUACGUAGGGGGCAAGCGUUGUCCGGAAUCACUGGGCGUAAAGGGCGCGUAGGCGGUUUGUUAAGUCAGGUGUGAAAGUUUUCAGCUUAACUGGAAAAGUGCACUUGAAACUAACUUACUUGAGUACUGGAGAGGUAAGCGGAAUUCCUAGUGUAGCGGUGAAAUGCGUAGAUAUUAGGAAGAACACCGGUGGCGAAGGCGGCUUACUGGACAGAGACUGACGCUGAGGCGCGAAAGCGUGGGGAGCGAACAGGAUUAGAUACCCUAGUAGUCCC